UUUAAUUUAUACUGUAACAAUAUGUAAAAAACACAUAAUUUUACUGUGGAAAAUAUAAUACUUUGGUAAAAUUAACGGGGAAAUACUAUAAUGUCACAAAUAUGUAAUCACACUAAAAUUAACACUUUAAUGCUGUUUAAAUUACAGAUUUUACUGAUGUGUACUUUAAAAUUUAUGGUAUAAAACUGUUUACAAUUCAGCAAGAACACACCCUAAUUUAUACGGAAAUAAGAUGGUAAAAAUAUUGUAAAAAAUGUUUAAAAAAAAGCCUAUGGAGAGUAAAACAUCAGUUUACCACCCUAAGUCAAGAAACGAUACAUAACUUAAAUUUUUGCUGUCAUAAUACGUUUUUACUGUGGAAAUAUACAUUUUGGUCAAAUGACCAUUCAUUUGACCAAAAUGUAUAUUUUCACCGUAAUGUCAAACCGUAAUGUCAGAUUUUGCAGAUGUGUACUUUUGAGUAGGUGAGUUCAGCAUUAUAAUCCUCAAAACGGGCCUGCUGUGACUGCAGAGUAUGUGGAGAAUAUUGUGUGCACAUGGUGUGCACUCUGCUCUCAGUUGACUGGUGGGGGCAGAGAGGGGAGGGGGGCUGUGAGGCCCGCCAACCUGUGACGGAGAUAGAGACGUGCGCGCGCGCACACACACAGGAGAAAGAGACACGCGCAACGUAACGGUCACGCAAUUCAAACUGCGCGGCGGUCUGCACGGCGAUGCAGUUUGGCUUUUUCUUCUGGCACAACGCGACUAAAGAGCACAUAAGUAAAAUUAUCUUAACCUUCGUCUGGUCUUAGCUUUCUGUUACCAUCUCCGAUGUUAACGGGUCGGUUUUGACCCCUGUUUUUAAUCAUCUCUAAAAUACACUAAAUGCAAUCAUCUAUCAUCCAAUUUGUUUCUCAUCUCUUGGUUACAUUGUUAGGCUUCCUUAUUCGUGAAAAUAUUGGUUUUAAUAUUUUUGGUGUGGGCCUCUGGGCCUUUUUUUGUCAGUAUAGCCCUCGAUUUCAAUUUUAAAAACUGGUCAAAUGAGCCUCAAGAGAAUCAUAUAAAUAAAUAAAAUGUUGUUGUGUUACCUGGCUAUUACUGAGGGGUAUUAGAACACAUCUCUUAAAUAAAUUUGUUUCAUUUAUUUUUUCAUUUUAAUAUUAUGUAGCCUACAUACUUCCAUCCAUCACUGUAAGUCUGUCUAUGUUUGGUAAUGUUUAGGUGAUAUUGUUUGAUGUACUUUCUGUGGCAGUUUAGCACAAGCUAAAAUGGUUGUCUGUCGGUUUUGCAACCGAACUUUUGCUAGCUUUAAAGGUUAUGUACUACACUGUCGAAUUCACAGAAAUGAACCCCGUUGUGUUUUUAAAUGUGAAUACGCCGCGUGCACGCAGACAUUUUGUACUUAUUCAGCGUUUAGGGGUCAUUUCUAUCGCCACCACAAUUUUCCCGCUCUUGCCGUUUGUCAUAAGUCACCCAUUGUUUCAAAUUUUGCUUGCGCUAUUGCACUGUGUGCGCGCCAAUUUCAGACCGUCAAGGAACUUUUGUCCCACUUGAAAGAACAUUUUGUGGAAGGGAGACCUGUGGCAUGUCCAGUAACAGGCUGCAAAAGUACUUUUACACUAAAGUCAUCCUUUACUGCGCACAUGUCCAGGAAACAUAAGGAGUGUUCAGCUAGUGACAUAAGUGAAAUCUAUAAGGAGGUUUCACCGCAGUCCUCCUCUGAUACUGUGUUUAAUGACACCUCCCAGAAUGUAGCCACUGAUGAUGGAACAAAUGGUUUGACUCAGAAUUUCAAUGAGACUUUUCUUAGAAACAUGUGCAUGUUCUACCUUAAAUUGCAAGGCCAGCUCCUCCUUCCAUCUUCAACCAUACAAAUAAUUGUUGAAGAAAUGCAGAAUUUGCAUGAAAUGGGACAGGAAUACACGAUAAGUAAACUGCAUACACUUUUGAGAGGGGAACUGAGUCUGACAGAUGAUGCCAUUGAUAAAGUUGCAGCCUGUGUUAGGGAUUCUGACCUCUUCUCCAACUCUCACCAGGGCCCACUGAGGUCAAUAUAUUCAAGGGCACAGGUAUUCAAAAGCAUGUUCCGGCACAUAGAACCUACAAAGAUUACAUUAGGAAGCGAUGAAAAUUUGAUGCAGAGGUUUGCUUAUUACAUUCCAGUGAAGCAGACAUUGGCCAACUUAUUAGAAUCUGAAUUAUGGAAAACUACAAUUUCACAACAGUCUUGUCACUCCAAUACAGAUGUGCUUUGUGAUAUAGAAGAUGGUAAAAUCUGCAAGUCAAACAAGUUCUUCAAAGAAAAUCCAGGGUCUUUGAAGCUUAUUCUGUACCAGGAUGCAUUUGAAAUCGUAAAUCCUCUUGGCUCAGCAAAGAAAAAACACAAACUUGUAGCAGUCUACUGUUCUGUUGCUAACUUACCUGUUCAUGUGAGGUCCAACACUGAUCACAUGUCCCUGGUCUUACUAUGUGGUGAGAAUGAUUUUAAACACUUUGGACCUAGUAAGAUCUUUUCAGAGCUGUUAGGUGAUUUAAAAGAUCUGGAAGAAAAUGGGAUUACUGUUGGUGGUGAAACGGUCAAAGGGGCUUUGUAUUGUGUUGCUGGUGACAAUUUGGGAUCACACAGCAUUGGUGGGUUUACAGAAAAUUUCAGCCAAUCUCAGUAUUUCUGCAGAUACUGUGAAAUAACUCGCCAUGAUUUUCAUGAUGAUCCUAUUGUUUGUGGUCCACAGCGGAACCCGGAUAACUACAAGGCAGCUCUUGCACGCCUACAAGAAGAAGGCAUUCGGGACGUGAAAGGAAUUAAGAAAAUAUGGAUUUGACAAAAACGUUUCUAAGAACAUCUAUUGAUCAAGUCUUGUCUGACCUCCCUGAGAUGUCAAAACAAAUGCUUGAAGAGACCUUACAGUCCCUGGGUGUGGAGACAUCUGAAGACUUUCGGUUCAUAAAGGAGGAGGAUUUGCUCUCAGCACUGAGGCCAAUUCAAGCCGUUGCAGCUUGGAAGCUGACAUUCCAGAUUUCUGAAACCAGCAGCUCAUCUGUUUAUGCCUCACCACAACCAUCCACCUCAUCUGCUUCACCCAUGCAAUCACCCAACAGUUCCUCCUCCAACAGCCCAAGCAAUGACUGGCUGGAUAAGUUCGUCAUCCCGUGUGAAAAGUUCCCUGAGAAACUAAUGCAGUGUCUCUCUAGAGGGACACGUCCAAGUCCUCGGCUGAGAAGAGAAAUGGUCCGGAUCUUGGUCCGUGAAUUGAAUCCAGAAAAGACACGCAUCGGAAAAAGGCACUGUGUGGAAGUUGCCAAGAAAAUGGUGGCAAAAUACCCACAAUCCCUGCAAGACGUUAUAGAAGGAGACAUCAUUGGCAGUGGUUAUCACUCCCUGGCCAAGCAACUACAGAACCGGAUUGAAAAUGUAAAGCGAGACAUGACACCAAAAAUCAUAAAAAGACGUCAUCUCACAGCAGACUCAGACACUGAUGAAAUACCCCCAGAAAAAAGGGCAGCUGUCCAAGACACCUAUGGGUGCAUAAAUUGGCAUGUGAAAUUUCUUCCCCUAGAAGAGACACCUGAGACGCAGCGGGAGAAAAAAGAAAAGCUGAAGGUGAUGUCUCAACAACCUGAUGCAAAUCCCCUGGAAGUCAAAGAUCUGAUGAAAGCUACUUACUACACACAGAGGAAACAAGUGAACCUGGGGGAACAUGUGAAGCAACUUUUUAAUGAGUGGCCAUUUUGGUUUGAAGAACUUGGCAUGGCAGUUCAUUUCAAACAGUUGACAGGAGUUGAUCUGAUAGACACUUUUUCACGGAAUGUGGAUCUGAAAGGGAAACGCCUUCUGAACUACCUAAACAUAGUGUGUCCGACCAAGAGCAAAAGGUUCCUACAGGCCCUAACAAAGCUGAAAAUGGUGAGGGGAGAGGCAAUUGGUUGCUCUGAAGAUCUCAAAGAGAUGAUCCUCCUUCUACUGUCUUAUUUUGAUGACCAAGAAACUGCGAUGUUCUGCUAUGUGGAGGAAACCUGCCUAGGACAGGAAGUAGACGUGGACCAACUCCAGUUGACCCCCACAAUUGUUGUGUGUGGGCGGUCCUGCUUUUCCUCGAAGAGGUACAUGUUGAGUGUGGACAAACAGAUAGUGAACGACAAUAUCCCCUCCUUCAUGACUGCAGUCUGCCUGAUGUUCGGGAGCUAUUAUUGCUUCAACAUUCACUAUCCAGCAGAGCUUGCGUCAAUCCUGGAGUUUCUACAGAGAUUUCCGCAUGUCUGUCGUGCCCUUCCCCUUUAAGGUGCUUCUUCUCCAUUAAUCCAGAGAAGGGGACAAAGGUGGUGAAGACCUCCUCCCGGCUACCGGUCAACCCUCGUGUCCUCACGCUAAUUCAAGACCUGGCAGAUCACGAAUGGUGCAAUGCCUGAACAUGGAAAAUGAACCACACCUUGGCCCCUCUGGAUAGACUUGAAGCAAGAGCUAAGACACACGGCACACCACGUCCGCCUCUCUAUCUCUCUCUCUCUCUCUCCCUCUCUCUCUCUCUCAAGUGUUUUAUGUACUCUCUCUCAGACAUCUAAACACAUUUGGCAGUUCUUCAAAACAUGUUUGAUUAAUCAAUGUGAACUGCUCAGUU